rnacentral:lncRNA from 1 species
UUUUUCGAUAUAUGUUACUAAACAGUCAUUCAUCAAACUAUCACCAAGGCGAUUUCUGAGACGAGUUUUAACGAUAUGCAUUGCUGAAAAACAACGUUCAACUGAUGCAGUUGCAACUGGCAAUAUCAACGCUAAUUUGAUCAGUAAAUAAACCAAAGGAUAAACAAUAUCCAUCUUACACUCUACCAAUUUCUGUGCUAGACCACCAAUACCCACAACAUCAUCAAAAUCUUCAUUAGACUGAACAUCAUGAAUGUAAUUCUGUAAUUGAUUAUUCAGCAUCAUAAGUUGUAAUGGUGAAAAAUCAGCAGGAUAGAAUGAAGCAAAACGAAGCAACUUCUG